GAUGAACGCUGGCGGCGUGCCUAAUACAUGCAAGUCGAGCGAACGGACGAGAAGCUUGCUUCUCUGAUGUUAGCGGCGGACGGGUGAGUAACACGUGGAUAACCUACCUAUAAGACUGGGAUAACUUCGGGAAACCGGAGCUAAUACCGGAUAAUAUUUUGAACCGCAUGGUUCAAAAGUGAAAGACGGUCUUGCUGUCACUUAUAGAUGGAUCCGCGCUGCAUUAGCUAGUUGGUAAGGUAACGGCUUACCAAGGCAACGAUGCAUAGCCGACCUGAGAGGGUGAUCGGCCACACUGGAACUGAGACACGGUCCAGACUCCUACGGGAGGCAGCAGUAGGGAAUCUUCCGCAAUGGGCGAAAGCCUGACGGAGCAACGCCGCGUGAGUGAUGAAGGUCUUCGGAUCGUAAAACUCUGCUAUUAGGGAAGAACAUAUGUGUGAGUAACUGUGCACAUCUUGACGGUACCUAAUCAGAAAGCCACGGCUAACUACGUG
rnacentral:rRNA from 1 species